rnacentral:rRNA from 1 species
AGCUCCAAUAGCGUAUAUUAAAGUUGUUGCAGUUAAAAGCUCGUAGUUGGAUCUCAGGGUGAGCUCAGUUGGUCGGCCUAAUUGGUCAGAACUGGCUGACUCUCCCUUGUUUCUAAAUCCCGAUCGGGGCUAACCCCUCGGUUGUGGACUUUAGAUCGUUUACCUUGAAAAAUUAGAGUGUUCAAAGCGGGCGUUUGCUUGAAUACAUUAGCAUGGAAUAAUGGAAUAGGACCCUGGUCCUAUUUGUUGGUUUGAGGACUAGAGUAAUGAUUAAUAGGGAUAGUUGGGGCAUUCAUAUUUAAUUGUCAGAGGUGAAAUUCUUGGAUUUAUGAAAGAUGAACUUCUGCGAAAGCAUUUGCCAAGGAUGUUUUCA